UUAUUAUUAUUAUUUUAUUUAUUUAUUUAUUUAUUUUGAGAUGGAGUCUCACUCUGUCGUCCAGGCUGGAGUACAGUGGCAUGAUCUCGGCUCACUGCAACUUUCCACCUCCCGGGUUCAAGCGAUUCUCCCUGCCUCAGCCUCCCAAGUAGCUGGGAUUACAGGCAUCCAUCACGCCUGGCUGAUUUUAUUUUUAGUAGAGAGGGGUUUCACUGUGUUGGCCAGGCUGGUCUCAAGCUCCUGACCUUGUGAUCCACCCGCCUCAGCCUCCCAAAGUGCUAGGAUUACAGGCUUGAGCCACCGUGCCCAACCUAUAAUUAUUUUUUUGAGAUGGAGUUUGACUCUUGUCACCCAUGCUGGUGUGCAAUGGCACCAUCUCAGCUCACUGCAACCUCUGCCUCCCCAGUUCAAACAAUUCUCUUUCCUCAGCCUCCCAGGUAGUUGCAAUUACAGGUGCCCGCCACCACACCUGGCUAAUUUUUAAAAAUAUUUUUAGUAGAGACGGGGUUUCAGCACAUUGGCCAGACUGGUCUCAAACUCCUGACCUCAGGUGAUCCGCCCACCUCGGCCUCCCAAAGUGCUGGGAUUACAGGCGUGAGCCACCGUGCCUGGCCAUGUUGGGUUUUUUUGGGUGGGGAAGGGUAAAUGGGGAUUUGAAAAGUUGAACAUGUCAAUUUAAUUUAACAAGCCCUCAUCACGAGCAGAGCAUGAGCAGGGGCCACUGUCCUGGGUGUUUGGGGAGAAACAGAAGAAGGGAGGGAGGAGCAGCCCUCAGGUUAAAAGCAAUGAUUUGUUCCAACCAAUAUUUGAGUACCCACCCUGUGCCUGGUGUGCUGCUGGGUGCAGUAAUUCAGCAGCCAACAAAGCAAGCCCAUGCACUUGUGCCCUCCCAUUCCAGUGGGGAAGACAAUGUUUAAACAAAUUUACAACAUCGGUCCUAAGUAUUUUGGAGGAAAGCAGCUAAAUAAAAGGAUGAAAGAGGGAUGGGAACGAGGGAUGUUUAGAUGGCAUAGUCAGGGAAGGCCUCUCUUCGGAGAUCACAUUUGAGCAGACUCUAGAAUGAAAGGAUAGGGUAAGCCAUGCAAACCCCUGGGCAAAGAGGUCUCCAAGUAGAGAAAUGAAGCCCUUGAGGCAGCAGUGUCCUCAGUAGGUUCCAGAAAUAGCAAGGUCGCUGGUACAGAGUCAGGGACUGGGAGCGCAAUAGAAGACAUCAGAAAGUAGCCAGGGACCAGGAUAUUUAGGGCUUAGGUGAGGACUUGGAAUUUCAUUAGAGUGAAUGGGAAGCCAUUGAAGGCUUUGGAGCAGAGGAGUCACAGGGGCUUAUUUACAUUUUUAAAAGACCAUUCUGGAAAACAGUCUUUGUACUCAGGCAGGGACAAGUGGAAAAAAGGGGCAAAAUAAGAUUGUUACCCCAGUAUUCCAGGGGAGGAGACGGUGGCUCAGACUAAGGUAGUAGAGUAUAGGUGGGACGAAAUGGGCAGAUUCAAGGUACAUUUUGAAGUUAGAACAGUUUUCUGAGAGACUUCAUGCAGAGUUGUUGGAGAGAAAGGAGAAAAGUAACUAAAAGGGUAAGUGCCUGAGUAAAAGAACAGCAUUGCAGUUUUCUAAGGUGAAGACAAUUGGUAGAACAAAAGCUGAGAAUGGUCAUGCCUGUAAUCCCAGCACUUUGGGAAGCCAAGGUGGGAGGAUCACUGGAGCCCAAGACUUCGAGACCGACCAGCCUGGGCAAUGUAGUGAGACCCCAUCUCUACAAACAAUUAAAAAUUAGCUGGGCAUGAUGGUGCACGCCAGUAGUGCCAGAUACCCAGGAGACUAAGGCAGAAGGAUCGCUUGAGCCCAGGAGUUGGAAGCUGCAGUGAGCUGUGAUCUUGCCACUGCACUCCAGCCUGGUCAACAGAGUUGAGACCCUGACUGUUAAGAAAAUAGCACUUUGGGAGGCCGAGGCGGGCAGAUCACCUGAGGUCAGGAGUUUGAGGCCAGCCUGGCCAACAUGGUGAAACCCCGUCUCUACUAAAAAUACAAAAAUUAGCGGGGCGUGGUGGCAGGCGCCUGUAAUCCCAGCUAUUUGGGAGGCUGAGACAGGAGAACCGCUUGGACCCAGGAGGCAGAGGUUGCAGUGAUCUGAGAUCACGCCACUGCACUCCAGCCUGAGCAACAGAGAGCGAAACUGUCUCAAAAUAAUAAUAAUAAUUUGAUUUGAGUCAUGUUCACUUUCAGAUGCCAACACAUGCACCUAAGUGUAUAGUCAACAAAACAGUUGGCUGGACUAGCGGGAUUCAAGGGGAGUGGUUGGAGCUGGAGACACACAUUUGGGAGUUGGCGGCAUGAAGAUAGCAGAUCGAGCCUCAGGCAGGGAAGGAGACCUGGAGCGUGUGUGUGGCUGACAGGAACCAAGGACUGAUCUUGGAGCUUGGUGCGCUCCAACACAUGGAGGUCAGGAAGAGAGAGGAGUCCAGCCAGGAGGACAAGCAGUGGCCGUGGAGGGAGAGUGUGGAAGACUGAGGAAGUGGUUGCUUUGUCCAGGGCAGCCAAUAGGUUACAGGAAGGACUGAGCAGGGACCACAGGUUUUGUUAACUGAAAGGUGUAAGAAGUCCGAGGGAGCCAGGGGAUACCCUAAUUUUUCCCAAUUUCAGAACCAAUUAAGAAACAAAAAAUAAGACGAUGGGAGAUGGGAGACCAAAAUACCACCCUUAUUACUGAUAAAACUGCUGUUAGAAAAUGUGGUUACAUCUGGGAACACUGGAUUUCUUUUCUUUUCUUUUUUUUUUGUGAUGGCAUCUCGCUCUGUCGCCCAGGCUGGAGUGCAGUGGUGUCAUCUUGGCUCACUGCAAGCUCCGCCUCCCAGAUUCACACCAUUCUCCUGCCUCAGCCUCCCCAGUAGCUGGGACUACAGGCACCCGCCACCGCGCCCGGCUAAUUUUUUUUUUUGUAUUUUUAGUAGAGACGGGGCUUCACCAUGUUAGCCAGGAUGGUCUCGAUCUCCUGACCUCAUGGUCUGCCCGCCUCAGCCUCCCAAAGUGCUGGAAUUACAGGCGUGAGCCACCGCGCCCGGCCUGGAUUUAUUUUGUAAGGCUGAACCUCAGAAUGAGGCGGUUUAGAGCAGUGCUUCUUGAACUUUAUUGUGCACCAGAAUCCCCUGGGGAUCGUACUAAAAUGCAGGUUCUGAUUGAGUAGGGCUUGGGUGGAGCCUGAGAUUCUGCUUUUCUAAUAAGCUUCCAAGUGAUGUCAGUAUUGCCAUUGUGGGGAUCACUCUUUGAGUAGCAGAAGUUAAGAGGAACGCAGCGCAUAUGUCCCCUGAAGGCAGCCGAGGUUCUGAGAGAGAGGGAGGAAGUGGCCAGGCAGUCUAUGCCUAACCGCUCCUUCCAGACUCACAGGAACAUUCUAGUAAUGGGGCUCACUUCUCAUGGAGGGAGGCAUCAGGAGUGCUUCUACACUAGCAAGGUCAUUGGUGAGGGGAGCAUUUGUUUGAGUGGUGCCUAAUUGGAGUAGGUUCUAGGGAAAGUGGGAGGAGAGGAGGGUGAAACAGUACAAACAAUUCUUUCAUAGAUUUUUCUGUAAAAGGGAAAAGACAAAUGGAGUAACUGGAAGGGGAUAUGGGGUAAAGGAGAGGCUUUUGUUUUAAAGAAGGGAAAUAGCAUAGCUUGUGCAUGUACUAAUUGGAAAAAAUGAACUGGGAGGGAAAACCUGGCAGUGGGGAAGACAGUGAGGUGGAGAGAGUUGUGGAGUGGGCCUGAGGGACUGGGGGCCAGUGCACAGCAGAGAGGUAGGUCCUAGAUCCAACUGAGCACCCUGGCUUAUAUCCACAGUGCUGCCGACAGCUCAGUGAUAGGAACACUGCAAGUCUCUGGAUUGCUAGGACUCUUCAGUCUUAAGUUAAUGUCUGGCUGGGCGUGGUGGCUCAUGCCUGUAAUCCCAGCACUUUGGGAGGCUAAGGCGGGUGGAUCACCUGAGCUCAGGAGUUCAAAACCAGCCUGGCCAACAUGGUGAAACCCUGUCUCUACUAAAAAUACAAAAAUUAGCUGGGCAUGGUGGUGGGUACCUGUAAUCCCAGCUACUCGGGAGGCUGAGGCUGGAGAAUCACUUGAACCCGGGAGGCAGAGGUUGCGGUGAGCCGGGAUCACACCAUUGCACUCCAGCCUGGGCUACAGAGCGAGAUUUUUGUCUCAAAAAAAAAAAAAAAAAAAAAGUUAGUUAAUGUCAGCUCUAGGGCUUAUGUCAGGCCACGUCUUCCUGAAACUGGACUUGCAGUUUAAAAUGGGAGAUCAUCCCCGAAUCAGUGCAUAUUAUGCUGGUUGUGCCCUCAACUAGACCUCACCCAGGAGCAUGUAGGAUUGAAUCCUCACUAGGGUUGCACGCUUAGUAAAUCCCCAUGUCUCUUGCAAAGCUGAUAGUUUGGGAAGUCAGGUGACCCAUGGAAGCAUGCAUGAGUCUGGUGCGCUGCUUUUCUUUUGUUGUUGUUGUUUUGAGACGGAGUCUUGCUCCGUCGCCCAGGCUGGAGUGCAGUGGCACAAUCUCGGCUCACUGCAAGCUCCGCCUCCUGGGUUCACGCCAUUCUCCUGCCUCAGCUUCCUGAGUAGCUGGGACUACAGGCGCCCGCCACCACGCCUGGCUAAUUUUUUGUAUUUCUUAGUAGAGACAGGGUUUCACCGUGUUAGCCAGGAUGGUCUUGAUCUCCUGACCUUGUGAUCUGCCCACCUCGGCCUCCCAAAGUGCUGGGAUUACAGGUGUGGGCCACUGCGCCUGGCCCGGGCUCGUGCGCUGCUUUUCUAUCUGGUUCUUCUUGUUAUUCCACUUGCGGUUGGAUGGGGAGAUAUUCCACUUUCCCUUAGGAACUCUUGUCCCUGCACAGACCAUUUUAGCUAUUCUGAGCACAUCACAAGCAUACUCCUCUGGGGUGAGAAUAUAUAGCCUCUGGGCUUUUUCAGAAUUGCUCCUUCUGCUACUCUGGAAGCUAACGUGGAAUGAUUGCUUGAGUCCAGCAGUUCAAGGCCAGCAUGGGCAACAAAGCAAGAACCUGUUUCUUUAAAAAAAAAAAAAAAAAAAAAAAAAGGCGGGGGGAGCAGGCAUGGUGGCUUACACCUGUAAUCCCAGCACUUUGAGAGGCCGUGGCAGGAGGAUCACUUGAAGCCAGAGCUCAAAACCAGCCUGGGCAACUUAGUGAGCCCCCAUUUCUACAAAAAAUAAAAACAAUUAACUGGGCAUGGUGGUACACACCUGUAGCCUCAGCUACUCAGGAAGCUGAGAUGGGAGGAUCCCUUGAGCCCAGGAGUUUGAGACUGCAGUGAGCUAUGAUGGUGCCACUGGCGCCUGGGUAACAAAGCAAGACCCUGUCUCAAAAAAAAAAAAAAAAAAAAAAAGGAGCUGGGCAUAGUGGCAUGUGCCUGUAAAUGAAAGGCAUCAUUUCAUGCAAGCUCCUCUGAGCCCAGGAGUUCCAGCCUAGCCCAGGCAACAGGGCAAGACCACGUCUCAAAAAAAAAAAAAGUACUCUUUCCACCUAAAAUAUAUUCAGGUCAUUUGAGUUCAGUUUGAGUUCAGCUACGAGAAUUAUUUAGUUGAGUGAGUGUCAGAGCUGGGAUUUUCAAAUCUGCCCUUACUGGUAUGUUGCUUUACACACCCUCUUACGUAAAUCAAACUAGGAUUCCACCCUGGGAGGUUUGCAUAGAGGGCUGUUCUUGUAGAACUUGUGCUCAUGCUUUGAUUUGGGAUUUGGGGAGUUAGGGCAAGCCAGAAAGUUUUUCUGGUGGAUAAUAAUGUGGGUUGACUUUCUUAAGCAUUUUAAGCCAAGCACUUGAGUUUCUAACAACUAAAAAGCUAAGUCAGCCUGACACAGCUCUAGCGCGCCCUGGCUUGAUUCUGUUCAUCCCCAGGGGGAGACUUGCCUUUGUUCCAGUCCUGCUCUCCCAAGCCAGCUUACUGUAGUUUUCCAGCAAUUCUGAGAAGCAGUAUUUUUUACUGCUGAUUAGAACCUUAACAUGGAAAUGGAAAGUUUGUGUAGCAUGUAACAUUAUUAGAAGGGAAAACAUGACUAUAUGAUUAGAUACAUAUUGAUUUUAUGCAAUAUGUUUGCAUAAAAUCUCUUCAGUAGUAACUUGGUUAAAUUAUUCACAUUGACUCAGCAUAAUUUCUCCCUUGCUAAAUCUCAGACUAAAGCAAUCAAUUUGUUCCUGCAAGAAAGUCUGAUGGUAGGCUUUCCUUGUAACUGAGCCCCAUAGAAAGAGGAAGCAGCUGCAACAAAGUUGAAAAGGAUGCCUGUCACCAAGGUUCUUUUAAGGGAGCCAUUGUGUGAAGUUCUACUUGUGAAAUUUCUGCAAGUACUGUUUGUUCUCCAAAAUCCAGCUUUCCGUUGAAAGUCAAUGAAACAUCUCUAAAAUGCAGACAUACCCAGGUUCAUUGGGAACACAGUCACUGUGAGUAUACAUGAUUAUGUCCUGCUAACCCUAUUGGGAAAGAAUGCUGGGCUUGGCCCUAGUAAGUAGACUUGGGUUAAAGUUCACCUCCGCCACUAACUAGCUGGGAAGUUCAACUUCCCUGAGCUGAGUUUGUCACGUUAGAGAAUAUUAAUAAAUAUGAAAAUUGUGGAGCAGUCUUAAGUUUAAAAGGAACUUUCAUGGACAUUAGCUCAUUUUGCUGUGCCCACCCUGGGAAGGAAGCAGGACAGGCAGGCAGUGGCAUCCCUGUCGUCAAGCAGCCUGAGGACUGCUGUGAGCCUCUGGAGCAAGGCAGGAGUUUGAGGAGGCUCUCAGUCCUUUUGUCCUUUUUUUGAGACAGAGCAUCAUUCUGUUGCCCAGGCUGGAGUGCAAUGGCAUGAUCUUGGCUCACUGCAACCUCUGUCCCCCACCCUUACCACUGGGUUCAAGCAAUUCUUAGGCCUCAGCCUCCUAAGUAGCUGGGACUACAGGAUGCACCACCACGCCCAGCUAAUUUUGGGGGGGUUUUUUUUGAGACGAGUUUCACUCUUGUGGUCCAGGCUGGAGUGUAGUUGCGUGAUCUCGGCUCACUGCAACCUCUGCCUCCUGGGUUCAAGUGAUUCUCCUGCCUCAGCCUCCCGAGUAGCUGGGAUUACAGGCGCCCACCAACACGCCUGGCUAAUUUUUUGUAUUUUUAGUAGAGACGGGGUUUUGCCAUGUUGGUGGUCUCAAACUCUUGACCUCAGGUGAUCCACCCGCCUCGGCCUCACAAAGUGCUGGAGUUACAGGUGUGAGCCUGUGUGUCCUUUCUAUUGAGGCUUCUCUCCACAUUUUCUGAUCCUCAGUCUCCUUAUUUCCUGUAAGGCUGAGGUCCCAAAUCCAGCCUGUGAAAGAGAAAUGCCAGCAGAGGCAGCACCCAGCACAGGAUCUAUUAUUGCAGCAUGCCCUGUGGUCAGGGCCUUCAGUAAAAGCCCACAGACCCUGACUACUUUCUGGCGGACUCUGGAGGAAGGCCUUAACCACAGACAAAAGGACAAGGACAGUGCUGUGGAGGGACUGCUGGCUGCUGCAGCGUGAAGAGAAUAGGGAAUGCACUCUACAAAAAUAAAAAAGCAUAAAAUUGGAAAAAAUAUAUACCAAAAACAUUUCAAGGUUCUGGACAUCAACCAAAGGCAGGCAAAUUAAGAAGCAUUUAUUCUUGAGAAAAAACUGGCUGGGCACGGUAGCUUGCACCUGUAAUCUCCCAACACUUUGGGAAGCAAAGGUGGGAAGUUGGCUGGAGGCCAGGAGUUCAAGGCCAGCCUAUGCAACCAAGCAAGACCCUGUCUCUACAAAAAAUAAUAAUGAAUAAUAAAAAGAAAAAGAGUGGCUCACGCCUGUAAUCCCUGCACUUUGGGACGCCUAGGCAGGUGGAUCACCUGAGGUCAGGAGUUCGAGACCAGCCUGACCAACCUGGUGAAACCCAUGUCUCUACGAAAAAUACAAAAAAAUUAGCCAGGCAUGGUGGCUCAUGCCUGUAAUCCCAGCAACUUGGGAGGCUGAGACAGGAGAAUCGCUUGAACCUGGGAGGCGGAGGUUGUGGUGAGCCGAGAUUGAGCCACUGCACUCCAGCAUGGUUGACAAGAGCAAAAUUCUGUCUCCAAAAAAAAAAAAAAAAGAAGUACUAAAGGAAGUCCUUCAGCCUAAAAGAAAAGGACACUAGAACAAUAUCUUGAAUUCACCAGAAGGCAUGGAGCACUAGAAUGAUGAAGGCAGCUAAAUGUAAAACACUAUAUAUUUCUCUUUUUUUUUUUUUUUUUUUGAGACAGUGUCUUGGUCUGUUGCUCAGACUGGAGUGCAGUGGCACAAUCCCGGCUCACUGAAGCCUCCGCCUCCCGGGUUCAAGCAAUUCUCCUUCCUCAGCCUCCUGAGUAGCUGGGACUACAGGUGCACGCCACCACACCCAGCUAAUUUUUUGUAUUUUUAGUAGAGUCGGGGUUUCACCAAGUUAGCCGGGAUGGUCUCGAUCUCCUGACCUCGUGAUCUGCCCACCUCGGCCUCCCUAUAUUUCUCUUUUAUACUUUAUAUUUUUCUCUCUUUUUUAAUUUUUUAAAAAACAAGGUUGUUUAAACCAGUUAUAACACAUUGCUGGGUUUAUAACAUAUAAAGAUAUAUAUAUAACACAAAGGAAGAGCAAGGGAAGGGUAGUAAAGUUACUGUAUUUUACCAGAAUUUUCAGUAUUGAGCUGAAAUAUACUGUAAUAAGUUAAAGCUACAUACUGCAAUCCCUAGACAACCACACAGAAAGUAACUCAAACAUAUAACUAAAAGGAAAAAACCCUUCAACUUUGGGAUCAGGAUAAUACAUACAUACACAUACACAAAUGUAACACAGAAAAAGGAGUUAAAGAAGCCAGGCGUGGUGGCUCACGCCAGUAAUUCCAGCACUUGGGGAGGCCGAGGCAGGCAGAUCACCUGAGGUCAGGAGCUCAAGACCAGCCUGGCCAACAUGGUGAAACCCUGUCUCUACUAAAAAUGCAAAAAUUAGCCAGUCAUGGUGGCAUGCCUGUAAUCCCAGCUACUUGGCAGGCUUAAAACAGGAGAAUUGCUUUAACCCGUGAGGUGGAGGUUGCAGUGAACUGAGAUGGUGCCACUGCACUCCAGCCUGGGCGACAGAGUGAGACUCCAUCUCAAAAAAGAAUUAAAGAGAAACAAAGGGACAACAAAGAUGAGAAAUAUAGAAAACAAGUAUUAAAAUGUCAUCCAUAUAUUCAACCAUAUCAACAAUUACAUUAAACAUGAAUGGACUAAAUAUUCCAAAGGGCACAGACUGUAAAACUGUAUAAAAAAGCAAGAUUCAACUAUAUGCUAUCUACAAGAGAUCCUUUAGAUUCAAAGACACAAAUAAUAGAGUGAAAGUGAAAAGAUAUACCAUGCAAUCAAGAAUCACAAGAGAGCAGGAAUAGCUAUAUGAACAACAGUCAACAUGGCCUUUUUCCCCAAGUUCUUCCUGCAUACAUUUAACUCAGCAUAGACUUUAAUAGUAGUAUUAAUAUUAGAAACAUAAAGGAACAUUUUAUGAUGAUAAUGGCUAUAUCAAUACAUUAUGAAGAUUUAGCCAUUAUAAAUAUAUACACUGCUAACAUUAGUCUCAAAAACAGAAUUGAAAGGAAAAAUAUACAAUUGAAAAUCCAUGAUAGGCCCAGUACAGUGGCUCAACGCCUGUAAUCCCCGCACUUUGGGAGGCCGAGGCAGGCAGAUCACUUGAGGUGAGGAGUUCGAGACCAGCCUAGCCAACAUAAUGAAAUGCUGUCUCUACUAAAAAAAAAAAAAAAAAAAAAAAAAUUAGCUGGAUGUGGUGGCACUUGCCUGUAAUCCCAGCUACUCAGGAGCCUUAGGCAGGAGAAUCGCUUAAACCUGGGAGGUGGAGCCUGUAGUGAGCCGAGAUCAUGCCAGUGUGAUAUUGAGUCUUGCAAAUCCGUUAACAUGUUACAAUGUCUUAUUUAGAUCUGUAAUUUGCUUCAGCAAUGUUUUGUGGUUUUGAGUGUAUAGGCUUUGGACUUAUUUUAUUAAAUUCAAUAUCUUAUUCCAAAUAUUUUAUUCUUUUGAUGUUAUUGUAAAUGACACUUUUUUUUUUUUGAGACUGAGUCUCACCCUAUUGCCCAGGCUGGAGUGCAGUGGCACCUCCCAGGUUCAAGCAAUUCUCCUGCCUCAGCCUCCUGAGUAGCUGGGAUUUUUAGUAGAGAUGGGGUUUUGCCAGUUUGGCCAGACUGGUCUUGAACUCCUAGGCUCAAGUGAUCUGCCUGCCUUGGCCUCCUAAAAUGCUGGGAUUACAGCCAUGGGCCACUGUGCCCGGCCAUAAUUUUUGAAUUUUUUUUUUUUGGUAGAGAUGGGUUUCCGCCAUGUUGCCCAGGCUGUUCUCCAACCCUGGGCUCAAGUGAUACUCCUGCCUCGGCCUUCCAAAGUGCUGGGACUAUAAGUGCAGGUGUGGACCACCGUGCUUGGCCUUUUUUUUUUUUCUUUUUUUUUUUUGAGACAGGGUUUUGGCUCUGUCACUCAGGCUGGAGUGCAGUGGUACCAUCAUGACUCAUUGCAGCCUCAAUGUCCCAGCCUCAAGCAGUCUUUCCACCUAACCCUCUCGAGUAGCUGGGACUACAGGCAUGCACCACCACACCUGGCUAGUCUUAUUUUUAAUUUUUGUUUUUUUAAGUAGAGAUGGGGGUCUCACUAUGUUGCUCAGGCUGGUCUCCAACUCCUGGGCUCAAGUGAUUCUCCCACCUCAGCCUCCCAAAAUGCUGGGAUUACAGGCGUGAACCGCCAUGCCCAGCAGAAAAAUUGUCAUUGGAAUAAAGUCUGGGGUUUUGUUAAAAGUUUUAUAUCGGCCGGGUGUGGUGGCCCAUGCCUGUAAUCCUAGCACUUUGAGAAGCUGAGGGGGGAGAUUCCCUGAGCUCAGGGAUUCAAGACCAGCCUGGACAAUGCAGUGAAACCCUGUCUCUACUAAAAUACAAAAAAUUAGCUGGGCGUGGUGGCGUGCACCUGUAGUCCUGGCUACUUGGGAGGCUGAGGCAGGACAAUUUCUUGAACCCAGGAGGCAGAGGUUGCAGUGAGCCGAGAUCACGCCACUGCACUCCAGCCUGGGCGACAGGGCGAGACCUGGAGUGCAGGCACAAUUAUGGCUCCCUGCAGCCUUGACCUCCCCAGGUUCAGGUGAUCCUCCCACCUCAGUUUUUCUAUUUUUAGUAGAGCCCUCCACCUCCCGGGUUCAAGCAAUUCUCCUGCCUCAGCCUCCUGAGUAGCUGGGAUUACAGGCAUGUGCCACCACGACGGGUUAAUUUUUGUAUUUUUAGUAGACACAGGGUUAUACCAUGUUGCCCAGGCUGGACUUCAACUCCUGGGCUCAAGUGAUCCACCUGUCUUGGCCCCACAAAGUGCUAGGAUUACAGGUGUGAGCCACCACACCUGGCCAGCAGUUUCUUAAAAAGUUACACUUACCUUAAAACCCAGCAAUCCACUCCUAAGUAUAUGUCUAAAAGAAAUGAAAACAACAGGCUGGGUGUGGUGGCUCACACCUGUAAUGCCAGCACUUUGGGAGGCUAAGGUGGUAGCUCUCCAGACCACCCAGGGCAACAUGGUAAAACCCCGUCUCCACUAAAAAUACAAAAAAAUUAACCGGGUGUGGUGGGGCACACCUCUAGUCCCAGCUACUUGGGAGGCUGAGGCAGGAGAAUCACUUGAGCCCCAGAGGCAAAGGUUUCAGUAAGCCGAGAUCGUGCCACUGCACUCUAGCUUGGGCUACAGAGUGAGACUCCAUCUCACACACACACACACAAAAGAAAUGAAAACAACAAUUUGUACAUGAGUUCAAAACAGAAUUAUUUAUUUCCCAAACUAGAAACAAUCCAAAUGUCUAUCAACAGAUAAAUGGAUAAGCAAAUGAUGACACAAUUGCAUUAAUGGAAUACCACUCAGCAAUGAAAAGGAACAAACCACUCAUACCUACAACACAGAUGAGCCUCAGAAACGUGAUGCUAAGUGAAAGAAGCCAGACCAAAAAAAUUAUAUGCUAUUAUUCCAUUUCUAUGAAAUUUCUGGAAAAGGCAAAAACCAUGCAAAGUAGAUCAGAGGUUGGCUGGGGGUGAGAGCAGAGACUGACUACAAAUAGGCCCAAGGGAACGUUUUGGGGUGAUGGAAGUUUUCUAUAAGUGGAUUAUGGUGAUGGCUACACAACAGUAUAAAUUAAAGGUCAUCCAAAUGUGUACUUACAAUGUUUGAAUUGUAUGACAUGUAAAUUAUCUCAUUAAAUCUGU
rnacentral:lncRNA from 1 species